UUACACUCAUUGUAUAUUUUACACUCUGCAAAGUGGGCUUGUACACCCGGAUUAGAAGCGGCAGUGUGUAUAUAAAGCUGAACGCGCUCCAUAGAGACAGACAGACGCUCAAUCAGACAGACAGAUUGAGGAGACGGGAAGCUUAAAUAUCCUCUUGUUGAAAUGAUGUAUAAACUGUUUAACAAUAAAAUUUUCGAUGCAUAA